CUAGCUAAUACGUGUUCUCAGCUACAUAUAUAAAAUAUAAACAAAAUAUAUAGCUAUCAAUAACAUGCAAUAGCGCUAAAAUAGAUAAUUUGUAACGUAAACUAAUAGUUUUCUCCUGUUAUAACUGUACAUUUGAUUAAUGGCAAAACAAAGCUACACUGCAACAUAACGGAGCUGUAUGUGGGCUCCGUCUAUUUUCUCGUUCGCUUCGUUGUUGCCGCACAUACAGCCCCCGAAGACGGCAUCGUUAGCUUGUUAAUUUGAGUCAAUUAAUACCCGGUAACGAUGUAAUACAUAAUUGUAUUAUAUUAAUCAUAUUAUGCGAGUGCUUUCAAGAUUUCUUCGACGUCAAACGGUGCCGUUUAAACGGUAGACAUCACAAAACAAGGGCGUGGGACACGGCUAUGUGCUGGACGGCGGUUUUAUAUCACGGGACCCUUCCAGAAACGUGCAACUGCCAACAAGACGCUAUGAGUCUUGUCAUAUGUUUGUGCAGCUUGGCCUUGAAGCUCCCUCGAGGAGACAGCAGCAGCUGGGCAGUGUUCCUGUUUGCCAUCGACCACAACUAAAGAGUUACAGCUUUGAAAACCCUCGUAUCGUAAAAGCUGCUGCUGAUCCAGACGCACCACAAACGUCCUGCUUGGAUGCGGCUGUAGCGUGACAACACACCCCUCUGAUGCCAAGACGAUGGAGGUUGCGACAAAGAAGGCAUCAAAGAUUUUUGCCAAACGAUUAUAAAGCAUCUGAAAGGUCAUUUCCGUGUCAGACAACAGAGUUCAAAAUGAAUAAAUGUUAACUAAUAAAUGACAGCUGAGCCGGUAAUGCAAGCAUGAUAGAGCAGGGUGUGGUGGUGUAAUGUUCACCUGUGUGAAGGUGCUAGUGUGCAUUGUGGAGGCCUGGAUGUGCAGCACCACCCUGUCUACCAGCGGUUUGGGAGCGGUCACAAAGCCUAUCCUCAGCCUGAAACAAACACACAAGUCAGGACAUAAACAUGCUGAAUAAAUCGCUUCUUUUGCCUGGUCUUUCAGACGAACACAUUAUUCCUUUUUAAAUUAAAUAAACAGUUAAGUAAGGAUUUCAAUGAACAAAUGCAGAUUCUGAUUCGGCUAUCCAGACUGACGGAACAUAAAGAUAAAGCUGUCAAACAACAACUGAUUUUAUGACUUGGAUCUAAAACGUGAGCAGGAUCUUAAAGUUUAAGAUGUUUAAUUGUAACAAGACGUGUGUAUAAUAUGUGCAAUAAAAUGUUAAAUGGCAACGGCAGAGCGUCACGUGCACAGCGUUGAAACACACACAGAUUCAGACGCUCACCCUGAAGACAGGAUCUUAGAGAAGGAGUCGGUCCGGAUGAUCCUCCCGUCAACAUCCAUGGAGAGAAACGUGGGAGCCCACGGCUGCCAAUUAAAUGAGACGUAACACGAAUCACUUUGGAGUCGGGCUGCACCCAGAAGUUUGAAACUUAAUUGUUGACAUCAAAUAAAUAAUACAAAGCGUCAUCAGACCACCAAGUAAAACUCUCUUGGUACCUUGUCAAACUGCAGGAAGUAGUACGGGUCGUCCUCGAUGAUGAGCAUGUCGUACUGCCUGGCCAGCUAUUAAGAAAGACCGGAGGACGUUAAUGGAAAACAACAGAGUGAAUCUGCAGGGAAAUCAUCUUCACGACAAGCUCUAAUUAGCAGUCAGUGUUUUGCAUAGACUGAGAGAAGAGUGAUUCAUAAAUCAUCUGCAGUGUGAGCAUGCAGUCGUAUAACACACUAAGCUUUGUUGCAGCGGGAGACGAACCUCGUACACGUCCUGCUUCCUCUGCGUCGUCAUGGAGGCACCAGUGGGGUUUCCUCCGUUGGGGAUGGUGUAGAGGAUCUUGGGGGCGGUGCUGCCGGGCUUGUGGACCUCUGAGGGGUCCCACUGAGACAAAACCUCCUUCAGGGCUGCAGGUAUCAUGCCGUGCUGAUCGCUGGGGACGUUGAUUAAGUUGCACCCGAGUGGCUGGAGCUACAGAGGAAACACAACGGUUAGAGAGUCGCUGGAGUUACUGUACGUGUGUUGUUAUAAAGACUGUGCUCUCACCGCUGCCAGUGUGCCUGAAUAUGUGGGUGCGUCCAGCAGAACGUUGUCUCCGGGGUUGACCAGCAUCUCAAACACCUAAAACCCAAAAACAUCUGAAUCAUGUCAUCAUCAUUCUGGUAGAAACAGAACAUUAGAGGCAGAAUCCACCACCUUUUAUGUGGAUGUCCAAUCAGUGUUAAUGGUAUGUAGAUACAUUUUUACAGUCAUUUGGCUGACUCAGAUCUUAAGCCGUACCGCAGCGUGGCAGCUGGUGG